rnacentral:rRNA from 1 species
UACGGAGGGUGCAAGCGUUAAUCGGAAUUACUGGGCGUAAAGCGCGCGUAGGCGGUUUGUUAAGUCGGAUGUGAAAGCCCUGGGCUCAACCUGGGAACUGCAUUCGAUACUGGCAAACUAGAGUGCGAGAGAGGGAGGUAGAAUUCCAUGUGUAGCGGUGAAAUGCGUAGAUAUGUGGAGGAAUACCGGUGGCGAAGGCGGCCUCCUGGCUCGACACUGACGCUGAGGUGCGAAAGCGUGGGGAGCAAACAGGAUUAGAUACCCCCGUA